ACCGCCCCGGGCCUUGGGCGGGGCGGGGGCCAGGGAAGGGCGUGCGCAGGAUUGGGGAGCACGUUUUGCGUCUUGCUGUGCGUGAGGAAGCGGGGAUCCAGGUCAAGGCUAUGGAAAGGCAGGACUUUGAAAUGACCCUGUCCUCAGCCUGGAGGAUGCGGUAUUCUGAUUGUCUGGUGCUGUGUCAACUGGGCCUGCCUCUGGGAUAGUGUUGUGGCUGCCCCACGAGAACCCUAUAUGCCAGUUCCAGAAGCAAAA
rnacentral:lncRNA from 1 species